rnacentral:lncRNA from 1 species
AUGCUUCGGGUCGGGAAAGGAAAGACAUAGAAUUUGGAUUUUUCUUCUUCGUAGAGUUUUGGGAAGACUGAGGCAAUCGCUGCUGAAGUUAGUGUUGUAAUGGUGAAUCGGGAUUUUUAAAUGAAGAGGAUUUGAAUACUCUUGAUUAUUUUGUAAAAUCAAGUUACGUCUGUGAUUGAAGGAUUAAAGGGGUGUCUAUAGGAUUGAGUAUGCGGAGUGAAUGAAAUUUAUUGGGUUAAUCUAACAGGACAGUCAGUGGAUAUAAGAUCGUA